rnacentral:rRNA from 1 species
GAUGAACGCUGGCGGCGUGCCUAAUACAUGCAAGUCGAGCGAACGGACGAGAAGCUUGCUUUUCUGAUGUUAGCGGCGGACGGGUGAGUAACACGUGGAUAACCUACCUAUAAGACUGGGAUAACUUCGGGAAACCGGCGCUAAUACCGGAUAAUAUUUUGAACCGCAUGGUUCAAAAGUGAAAGCCGGUCUUGCUGUCACUUAUAGAUGGAUCCGCGCUGCAUUAGCUAGUUGGUAAGGUAACGGCUUACCAAGGCAACGAUGCAUAGCCGACCUGAGAGGGUGAUCGGCCACACUGGAACUGAGACACGGUCCAGACUCCUACGGGAGGCAGCAGUAUGGAAUCUUCCGCAAUGGGCGAAAGCCUGACGGAGCAACGCCGCGUGAGGGAUGAAGGUCUUCGGAUCGUAGAACUCUGUUAUUAGGGAAGAACAUAUGUGUAAGUACCUGUGCACAUCUUGACGGUACCUAAUCAGAAAGCCACGGCUAACUACGUG